GUGCCAGCCGCCGCGGUAAUACGUAGGUGGCAAGCGUUAUCCGGAAUUAUUGGGCGUAAAGCGCGCGUAGGCGGUUUGUUAAGUCUGAUGUGAAAGCCCACGGCUCAACCGUGGAGGGUCACUGGAAACUGGAAAACUUGAGUGCAGAAGAGGAAAGUGGAAUUCCAUGUGUAGCGGUGAAAUGCGCAGAGAUAUGGAGGAACACCAGUGACGAAGGCGACUUUCUGGUCUGUAACUGACGCUGAUGUGCGAAAGCGUGGGGAUCAAACA
rnacentral:rRNA from 1 species